AAUUCGGGACCUUCACACUAGAAAUGGCAGCACGAACCAAAAGGGUCAUAAACAUGUAUGAUGAGGAUGUUACACACUGGACAGAGGAUAGAAAAAAAGCCCUCAGAGAUCAAAGGCUGGAUGACAAUCCAGAUGUUCUUUUCAAAUUGUUUGAUCCACCUUAUCCAAGCGAUCUGGGCAAUCUGUGCGGUCUGAUCUUUAGACCCACUUCAGAUCCAGUUCUGUGGAUGAGAUUAAUCAUAAAUGGUUACAAAAGCCUCUCUCCUCAGUGGACUCACAGACGAGUUACAGAGCCAGCUCGAGAUGUGAUCAAUAUCAAGGGCAAUGCAGGAGAAAUGCGCACAUUUAUUAGAAACUUUCCAAAUGAUCUGCAAAAGAAUGCUGUGGAUCUGAAUGCGGUGAUGAAAAAACUUGAAUUAACAUAAGACAACGAAGAUAAUGAAGGGGGUGCCAAAACAUGAGACGCCAUGGUUUUAUAAGACGGGAUCUCAUGAAGGCAUGGAGAUUUGCAACCAAACCAGAUCUGGAUCAAGCUUUUCUUGUAUUUCUCUUCUCUGUUACAAAUGUCACACCUCAUUUUCCGGGUGAACUCCAAGCUCAGUGUCUGUAUAAACACAAAACGUAUUAAAGUUUUGAUCACGAAA